UACGGGGGGGGCAAGCGUUGUUCGGAAUUACUGGGCGUAAAGGGCCAGUAGGCGGCCAACUAAGUCGGAUGUGAAAUCCCCAGGCUUAACCUGGGAACUGCAUCCGAUACUGGAUGGCUUGAAUUCGGGAGAGGGAUGCAGAGUUCCAGGUGUAGCGGUGAAAUGCGUAGAUAUCUGGAGGAAUACCGGUGGCGAAGGCGGCAUCCUGGACCGACAUUGACGCUGAACGGCGAAAGCUAGGGGAGCAAACGGG
rnacentral:rRNA from 1 species